GGUUCCAAACCCUUGCUGGAGAGGUGAUGCAGUCAUUUGGAGGAAAGAGGGUUGCUGUGGUAUGCUGGGGUUCCGCUUCAAUGCCUAGUCACCUCAGAUUUUCCUGUACCUGCAGGUAUCACCAGUGAAGCCUGCGAAGCAGCAAAGAUGGCAGUCUGCCCCGUCUUCUAGGAGCUCUGUCACAGGGAGGUACGGACAUAUUGCUGGCUCAAAUGCACUGUAGGAGGUGGCUGGAGACCCUGGUUGGGAGGUCUUGCCCUUGUCAGGAGGAAUGAGACCAGGAACCUGCUUUAAAAAGUGCUUUGACCGUGUUUGCAUAGACAAGCCGUGCUGUGCUGGCGGACCACUUCAGCUCAUGGUCACCUCAGACACCCUGAAGCCUGAAGGCUGGAACAACUAAAUUGCCCAAACAGCAAAUAUGACAGCAUCUACAGAAAUCAUUUUAUUUGAGUUAUGUAGCAAGAACCCAACUUA
rnacentral:sRNA from 1 species